CGGCGGCAUGGCGGGCCAGCGGGUGAACGUGAACGUGGGCGUCCUGGGCCACAUCGACAGCGGCAAGACGGCGCUGGCGCGCGCGCUCAGCACCACAGCCUCCACCGCCGCCUUCGACAAGCAGCCGCAGAGCCGCGAGCGCGGCAUCACGCUCGACCUGGGCUUCUCGUGCUUCUCGGUGCCGCUGCCCGCGCGCCUGCGGCCGGCGCCGCUGGGGGCCGAGCCCGAGCCCGAGCCCGAGCCCGGGGCCGAGCCGCGGCUGCAGGUCACGCUGGUCGACUGCCCCGGGCACGCCUCCCUCAUCCGGACCAUCAUCGGCGGGGCCCAGAUCAUCGAUCUGAUGAUGCUGGUCAUUGACGUGACCAAGGGGAUGCAGACCCAGUCGGCUGAGUGCCUUGUGAUUGGGCAGAUCGCCUGCCAGAAGCUGGUCGUGGUGCUGAACAAGACAGACCUCCUACCCGAAGGGAAGAGACAGGCGGCCAUUGAUAAGAUGACCAAGAAGAUGCAGAAGACCCUAGAGAACACCAAGUUCCGAGGUGCACCCAUCAUACCCGUGGCAGCCAGGCCUGGGGGACCAGACGCCCCUGAAACAGAAGCUCCACAGGGCAUCCCAGAGCUCAUUGAGCUCCUGACGUCCCAGAUUUCCAUCCCAAGGAGGGACCCCUCGGGACCGUUCCUCAUGUCUGUGGACCACUGCUUCUCCAUCAAAGGCCAAGGCACUGUGAUGACAGGGACCAUCCUCUCAGGCUCCGUCAGCCUCGGGGACAGUGUGGAGAUCCCCACCCUCAAGGUGGUGAGGAAGGUGAAGUCCAUGCAGAUGUUCCACACACCCGUCACCUCUGCUGUGCAGGGGGACCGGCUGGGCAUCUGUGUCACCCAGUUCGACCCCAAGCUGCUGGAGCGUGGCCUGGUGUGCGCCCCCGAGUCUCUGCACACGGUCCAUGCAGCCCUCGUGUCCGUGGAGAAGAUCCCGUAUUUCCGGGGAUCCCUGCAGACCAAGGCCAAGUUCCACAUCACCGUGGGCCACGAGACGGUCAUGGGCCGGGUGAUGUUCUUCAGCCCUGCCCCCGACGGCUUCGACCACGAGCCCGUGCUGGACUCCUUCGACUUCUCCCAGGAGUACCUCUUCCAGGAGCAGUACCUGUGCCCGGGCUCAGUGCCGGCCGAGACGGACGGUGGGGAGGCCGACAGGAGGGCGGGCCAGGCCUCCGAAGGCCGCUGCCCCCGGCAGCAGUGGGCCCUCGUGGAGUUCGAGAAGCCCGUCACCUGCCCGCGGCUGUGCCUGGUGAUUGGCUCCAGGCUGGACGCGGACAUCCACGCCAACACGUGCCGGCUGGCCUUCCACGGCGUCCUGCUGCACGGGCUGGAAGAUAAGAACUACGCCGAGAGCGCCCUGCCCAGGCUGCGAGUGUACAAGCUAAAGCACAAGCACGGCAUCGUGGAGCGGGUGAUGGACGACUACAGUGUGAUCGGCCGCUCGCUGUUCAAGAAGGAGACCAACAUCCAGCUCUUCGUGGGGCUCAAGGUGCAGCUGUCCACCGGGGAGCUGGGGGUCAUUGCCAGCGCCUUCGGCCAGAGUGGCAAGUUCAAGGUCCACAUCCCUGAGUCUUUUCUCUGACUGGCUUUGAAGCAGGAAGCUGCCGUGACAGCCGAUCCGUGUUUCCCUGGUCCAGCGUCUGAUGAGAACCCAGCCCUGGUCUACAUGUUGCUGGCAGCCGCGUGGGACCGUAAGCUACACCGCGCCUAGGCUCCUGACCCACAGACCGUGAGACAGAAACCUGUGUGCUUCUAAGCUGCUGAGUUUGUUGGGAUUUCUUUUUUCUUUUAUAUAUAUAUAUUUUUAUUUAUUUAUGUAUUUAUUCAUUUUUGGCUGCAUUGGGUCUUCACUGCUAUGCGGGUUUUCUCUAGUUGCGGCGAGCGGUGGCUACUCUUUGUUGCGUGCGUGGGUUUCUCAUUGUGGUGGCUUCUCUUGCUACAGAGCAUGGGCUCUAGGCGCAUGCGCUUCAGUAGUUGUGGCACGUGGGCUCAGUAUUUGUGGCAUGCAGGCUCAGUAGUUGUGGCGCACAGGCUUGGUUGCUCUGCGGCAUGUGGGAUCUUCCCGGACCAGGGCUCGGACCCAUGUCCCCUGCAUUGGCAGGCGGAUUCUUAACCACCGCGCCACCAGGGAAGUCCCUGUGGGGAUUUCUUACACAGAAUAGAAAAUCAGUACGGGGUCAGGGAGGGGGGCUGUUGUAUUGUUAGUUAUAUAUUUGGCUAUCUGAAAUAUUUCAUAAUUUAAAUUAAAAGGUUAUGAAAGAUCCCAAUGGCUGAAGAGACAGAUCGCAGAGCACGAGCUGGAGGCCGGGGGGGUCACGAGGAGGCCAGCGUGCUGCUGUGUGGGUGAGGGUGGAGCUGGGCAGUGUAAGGGGGCUCAGGGAAUGUGUAGAAACGUCCCCUGCAUCCCUAAAUUCUGAGGAAGGGGAGGGGCCGUCCCAGCGUCCCCGCCACGCCUGGGAAACCUGGAUCACAGCCCUCCCCCCAGGUCAGCACAGCCCAAUCUGGGGGGAGGAGCAGGGAGAAGGAAUAAGGACGGCAUUUUCCCAGGGUCCCCUAGGGAGCCCUGCAGUGUGGGCUGGGGGGACAGAUGGAGUGGUAGGAGGAGGCCGCUGGGCUGGGUCCACCACGUCCGUCUCCUGGGAGAAGACCCCCGCCCCCACUCCAGCCUGAAUGCCAGGGGGAGCCAUCCCAGGGAGUGGGAGCCCCAGCCCUGCCUGUACUCAGUGUCCGCAGCUAUACAGGAGGAUGAUCUGAGGGCACCCUGCCCACUUGGGGGCCGGAUGGGAGGAAAUGCUGAAAGCACCUGCUGAACAGCCAGGGCCGGCCCUUCGGCCCUCCCGUCCCUGGCAGCCUUAGGUGCUGUGGGGAAGGAAGAACAAAGAGGUCCCCAGACACCCUGGGCUUCUAGGAGUGGAGACGGGCAUCAGGGCUCAGUCUGAAGCCCACUGACUGAAAUGGCAUUAGAAGGCGACCUCCUUGUUGGGUGAGCUCUCCAAGGACUGAGGAACCUUUGCCUUCCCCAUAUUAUCCUUGUAACAACCCUGCAAAGUGUGGUCUUGUUUUACUGGUGAGGAGUCAGGAUUCAGAGAGGCUAAGCCACUUGCUCAAGGCUGCACAGCAAGAGAGAGGCAGCUCUGUAUGCCCCACAGUCAGGCCUUGUCCUUCGGUGACAUUGGUUAGGAACUAGGGAGCUCUGAGGGGCUGAGGGGAGGGAGACUUCAGAUAAGGAUUCCUCUCAUAUCUUUGGCUGGGGUUUUGAAGGAUGAAGAGAAGUUCUCCCGGCAAAUCUGAAGGGGAGAACAUCCCAGGGAGAGAGACCAACCAGGAACAAGGCAGAGAAAAGAAAAAAGGUUUUGUGAAUGAUUAUUUCCUACAUUACAAAAGUGGCACAUAACACCUUAAAAUAUUAGCCCAAGUUUAUAAAGUGAAAAGUACCCUCUCACCACCCCGGUCUCUCAUACUUCCCGGGAAGUAACCACUGUUAUUCGUUAGGCAUAUGUCUUCCCGGGUUUUUUUCUAUAUGUACACAAACAUUUUUUUUUUUUUUUUUUUUGUGGUACGCGGGCCUCUCACUGUUGUGGCCUUUUCGUUGCGGAGCACAGGCUCCGGACGCGCAGGCUCAGCGGCCAUGGCUCACGGGCCCAGCCGUUCCGCGGCAUGUGGGAUCUUCCCGGACCCGGGCACGAACCCGUGUCCCCCGCAUCGGCAGGCAGACGCUCAACCACUGCGCCACCAGGGAAGCCCCAUACACAAACAUUUUUAAAACAAAAAAUCAUACAUUAUAUAUUGUUCUGCAGUUUGCUUUUUAUCCCCCCAAAGAACCCUGCAGUUUAGCUUUUAUUUCUAGUGUUUCUGUGAAGUGCACCUGAGGAGAGCUUGGAAUUUCGAUCAGCAUUCCCACAUAUGGCACAUGCUAGCAGCUGUUUCUACUAUGGCAGGCCUUUUCCAUUUUUCUGAGAGGAGAGAAAGGACAAACUUAACCUUGAGGUUUGCAGUGUUCCUUUGCCAUUUUAUCUGUUGGGGAACCAACCUGGGUGAUCCAGCUGUUUUUCCAGAUAAAGUUUGGAAUCGUUUUGUCAUUUUGCCUAGAAGCAAAACAAACCCAGUGGCCCUGUGAUGUGCCGGCCGUGCUGUCAGCACAGGACAGUGCUGUGGUGUCGUCUUCCCUUCAUCCCAGAUGUUUGGGAAGCACCUACCGCCAACCCAUGAAUGACCACGGGGACGGAAGAGGGACGGGACGGUCGCCACCCUGCUCUUCGGAACCUGAGCACCUUGCGCGAUGCCUGGCCGGGGCUCCUCCGGUAACACUGGCCCGCAGAAGGAAAGAACCCCGGCCUGGGAAUCUGCGCGGGACCGCCCGUGAUUGUCUCUGCCCUCUGCGCCCGGCCUGGGUUCAGCGCUUUCAGAGAGGGAGCCAGUGGAGAGGGUGCAGGCCGAGGUCCCCGAAGACCUGCCCCCGGAGCCGGGCACGGGGAACGGUCAAGUGGCCCUUGGCGCCGAGGAAGCCCCGCGAACUUGGGGCAGCUCAGACCGCCCAAGUCUCCCAGUCCUCGUGAGAAACAAGAGCAAAUAAAUUACUUUUGCCUCUA